GACGAACGCUGGCGGCGUGCCUAAUACAUGCAAGUAGAACGCUGAAGAGAGGAGCUUACUCUUCUUGGAUGAGUUGCGAACGGGUGAGUAACGCGUAGGUAACCUGCCUUGUAGCGGGGGAUAACUAUUUUAAACGAUAGCUAAUACCGCAUAACAAUGGAUGACACAUGUCAUUUAUUUGAAAGGGGCAAUUGCUCCACUACAAGAUGGACCUGCGUUGUAUUAGCUAGUAGGUGAGGUAAUGGCUCACCUAGGCGACGAUACAUAGCCGACCUGAGAGGGAGAUCGGCCACACUGGGACUGAGACACGGCCCAGAAUCCUACGGGAGGCAGCAGGAGGGAAUCUUCGGCAAUGGGGGCAACCCUGACCGAGCAACGCCGCGUGAGUGAAGAAGGUUUUCGGAUCGUAAAGCUCUGUUGUAAGUCAAGAACGGGGGUGAGAGUGGAAAGUUCACAAUGUGACGGUAGCUUACCAGAAAGGGACGGCUAACUACGUG
rnacentral:rRNA from 1 species